AGGAGACUGGUGAGGCCCUGCCUCCCUUGCCUCUAAUGACUGCACGUCCCUGCUGUAGAUGGAUCUUCUGGAAACAUCUAACAUAUUUGAAAAUGUAAAUACUACCCACUAAAUACUGGCUGCAAUCAACAGGCUUCCAAGACAUACAGGAAGAAUGGAAGGAUGAGUCAACCUUGAGCCUGAAAGCUAAGUGUUUUGGAACAGUUACUUAGACCACCAGAGAUUUUUUUAAAAACAUACUGAAGAAAGACACAGUUGAGGGGGACUUCUGGGGAAGCAAUGGCGGACUGAAGACAGCUCCACAGGAAAUUGACAAUAAAAGGUGAGUAAACAGAUCAGCUCCUUGGAACUCCUUUCUGGAGCAAGGAAAGAACUAGAUGUCAGCCCUGGAUCCAUCUUUGGUCAGACUUUACAGGACUGCCACAGUGGGAACAGGAGAGUAGCGAAGGGAGUAAAUCACAACAACAUUCUUUCACAUGAGAUCAAGGUCAAACUGCUGCCACCUGGAGGGGAGUGAACGAAAUUUGGCGGCAGUUGAGACAGGGGAUUGAUUGGGCCAUGUGAUGUGAGUGUUACUGGACAGAGC